GAAUCACAGAAUUGGUGGGAAUCUGGUGGGACAUGGAGGAGGAAAUCCAGAGCAUUCCCAGUUGAUGUGAACUCAACCUUUGCUUGCAGAGCUCCAGCAAAGGUGAAGCCACCAGCUUUCUGGGUAACUGAUUUGAUGAGUCAUACCUCUUUAGUCUUACUCAGUUUCCCAUCAUUUCCUUCCUCUAUUAGUGACUAUCCUUCCAAUAGCCCCUUGAGUUAAUUUACGUAAAGGUAAAGGACCUUUGGAUGAUUAAGUCCAGUUAAAGGUGACUAUGGGGUUGCGGUGCUCAUGUCGCUUUCAGGCCAAGGGAGCUGGUGUUUGUCCACAGACAGCUUUCCGGGUCAUGUGGCAAGCAUGACUAAACAGCUUCUGGCGCAACGGGAUACCAUGACAGAAACCAGAGUGCACAGAAACACCAUUCACCUUCCCGCCACAGUGGUACCUAUUUAUCUAUUUGCACUGGCAUGCUUUUGAACUGCUAGGUUGGCAGGGGCUGGGACAGAGCAACGGGAGCUUACCCUGUUGUGGGGAUUCGAACUGCCAACCUUCUGAUUGGCAAGCCCAAGAGGCUCAGUACACUUAAAAUACUCCCCCCCCCCAUUUAACAGUCACGGCUUCCCCCAAAGAAUCUUGGGAACUGUAAUUGGUUAAGGGCAUUGGAAAUUCUAGCUCUCUGAGGGGACCCCCUAACAACCUCCCCCUCCCCCCUCAGCAGCUGCAAAUAUCUGGGAUCAGGCAGAAGGAUUUCCAGGUCAGUAGUGUUUGUCAUUAGCAUGGGGAUUGUGUGGAAGAUCAACUGUGUGUCAGCAAGUCAGGAGGUUAAAGAGCUACAAAGACGGUGUACAAGCAAAUCGAUAUUGUGGCUUAAUCAAGUGGCACUACAGAAGCAGAAUAGGUUAAAACUACACAAACAUGGCUUAGUUUCCUGUUAUUCCAAUGAACAGUGUGCGCUUCAUCCCCGCCCCCCCCCAAAGAGACAGAUGCAGUUUUGAACCCAACCAUGCUUGCUUUGCAGGAAUCUGAAUGGGAAAACAGUUUUUACAUAAUGUAAAUCACUACUUUUCCACAUCAGUUUGAUAUGUGAUAUUUUAGGAAAAGCCCUCAUAAAAUUUUGUCAGCUUUUUAGUGUACAUUUCUCCUGAAACACACAUUCUUGCAAGUAAAUGUUCCGUAACAUAAUGCAUAUUUGUAUGUUAUUUUCAUUAAUAUAUACAUUCAUUCAUAUAAUGCAUACAUUUCUCUAAUACUGUAUAUGCAUUUUUGCCAAUUUUGUGGGGUGGGGUGACAACACUGCAAAAUUUCCAGAAGUGCAAAUUUCAAAAGCUAGCUGUGUUUUGGUUUGUGUAUUGUUUCAGGAGGUGCAAACUGGGCAGUUUCGCAUGAAAAGGCGGACUGAGCCAAAUUUUUGUCCCUCUCUGGGAGCAGGGGUUGUCAUUUCCUGAACUGCCAGCAGUAAACUGUUUACACCUAUAGGCCUUCAUGAAUAAUGAACAGUAGUGAUUAUCAUUGCUCUCCUCUGUUUUGCUCACAGGUUACACUGUUUUCCGGAGCCGUGGCGAAUGAGAGUGCGACAUGUCAUUACAAUACAUUAACAGGGGUGAUUGUUGGCCCCAAUUUGCUUUCAACAAAGAGUUGGCCUUUAGUUACUUCCAGCAGGCACUGGCAAUUACUGAAUUUUUAAUACCCAAAUUCCCAGAUUUCACUUUAAAUGCCAUUUCAGGCCACGAUAGUGCCGAAAAUGGAUUGCCAUGCUGUAAAUUCCUCGAGAGGAGAAAUACUGUAAGAAAAUGGGGCAUUGUGAAUAUAUAUACACAAAUCAAAAUACUGC
rnacentral:lncRNA from 1 species